ACGUCUUGUAUCUUCACUCCCGCACUGGACAGAGACCAGACCAGACAUAGAAACCUAUACCGACAUAUAUUAUACCGACUGCGGUGAACAGAACUCUACUAAUUUCAGAAACCAUAGACCUAUUAUGUAGGCAACGUAUAUUAUACGUAGAGCUAUCAUCAUUAGACCCCUGUCGGAGCGAUAGGGGUCUUUCGACUCCAAUAAAACGAUUGAAUAACUAGGAAUUUGCUUCUUCGUGAUUUGUAAGAAUUUGUGUAGCACCUGAACC